rnacentral:lncRNA from 1 species
UGUGACGAGCUGCGCGCUGUGCAUUGUGGGAAUCCCGGGGCCGCGGCGACUGGUUCCAGUUCACUCGGCAGCGGAGCCGGGCGGAGGGGGCGAGCGCGGGGCGCGCGGGCGGGAAGCGAGGAGGCGGGCGGGCCAGUGAGGAGAGCGGAGAGAAAAGGCGCGAGCGGCCGAGAGGGCACGGGCCGGACACCUUGCUGCUGCCGCCGGCGCCGCCGCUGCGGCCGAGCCUCCCCAUAAAGGACCGUAAGGUAGAGGUGCGGCUUCCCUCUGCGUGCCUGGGGAUCUGCUUCACAUCUUCCUUCUGGG